GUGGAUGACCAGCAACAAAGAAUAAACUUAGAACAGACUGUUUAACAUCUGAGCUUUGUCCAGCAUAACCACUCCAAACUCAACAGAGGAAUAAACUGAGAGUCAAAGAUCCGAAAUGGGAUGCACAUUAAUAAACAAUAAGUUCACAUCACAUAAAUCUUCUCACUUACAUUAAGAUUAAAAAAAGAAAAAAUCGUACUGUGUGCACUAUUAAUUCCCAUGAACUAGUUUUUAUUAGCGCAACAAUUUUACACAUUUAUAAUGAUGUGGAUAUAUGGUAGUAUAAAACCAGGAACUCUCAUCAAACUUUUAAAAAAGCAUUUUUGUAUAUCAUACAGUGUGAACAUCCUGAGGACUCAGGGUUACUUGAAAUUUCACUGUGUUUGUCUCAACCAUAGGCAUGGAGUGUAGUAAAUAGCGAAGGAGAAAUCGCCAUUCUUGAACAUGACACUGUGUUAGGAAUAAUAAUAAUAAUAAUUUAAGGGAAUGAAAUCCCUCUUACUGAGAAUGACUUCCUCCAGGCCAGGGCUCACCUCUUUGCCCCUCCUCUCUCUUCCAGGCACUAUUCAGUCCAGGAAGCACCACGCAAUCUGGCAAAAUGUCUAAUGAAAAGAUUCCCUGCGAAGCUUCCUCAUUUAGCCAAUCUGAGUACAGGGACUUCCAUCUUAAGCAAAGACAAUCAGGGGACAAUGCACUAGGCUUGCAGGCUCUGUUAUUCAUUGAUUUACCAAGAGGUCUACACUGUCAGACAUCUCUCACUGUUCCAUUUGGGGGAGUGGAAAAGGGACCCCAAUUCUUGUUUCCCUCCCUUUCUGCCUGCCACCUCUUCCUACUCUUUUGAAAAGAAGCAUGUCACACAACAAUGAAGAGCUUUUCCACAUUAGCGCUGUUGCCAGCCAGCCACUUCUCUUUGUUUAAGUCUAUUUACACAGUCUCCUUGGCAACAUAAGGUAGAAGUUGACAUUUUUUUUUAAUAUCUCUGACUAGCAGGUUUGGUUUUUCCCUUUGUCUGAAGCUUAUCCACCUCACACAGUGAGUUAUUUCUGCAGCAGCUUUUUUCUUUUUCUUUUUUAAUUUUGAAUAGAGAGGGAGGCACAUUCACACCAGACUUUAGGGCAUUCUUUCAAAAUCACCUUCAAAACUGAUUAGUGACUAAAAACAUUUUCUUUUGACUGUAGCUGUGUAUGCUUAACUCUUCCCCCUAGUAGAGUAGGUCAGAGAGAUCUGUGCGUGUUCUCAUGUCUGAUGUCUUCAUGUAAUGGUAGGAGAGAGCUGAGGCUAGAGGCAGAGGCAGAGGAAUGCAGCCUGACAUCUUUGAGUUCCACAACUCAGUCAGUGGACCUACUGAAGAGCCAUAGGCCCUCUUUUGCAUAUACAUAUACUUUUACAGCUCAGUGGAGCCCAAGUUCAUGUCCAAAAUGUCCUAUCUUCUGCCCUUGCAAACCACAGACAUUCAACCCAUCCAUAGGAAAAUGUGGGUCAUAGAGAGAUAGGAACCAUACCAAUGGUGUUUGGAGUUGGCCAGAAGUUUAUUUAGUAGCAGAUCAUGACAAUCAAGUCCUUUGUAUAUCAAAAAUCAAAAUCCUGUUUUUCAGUAUAUAGCUGGGACAGAUAUUUCUAAUAAGGAAAUUUGGGGUACAAUACCCAGCCCUUUAAAAAUGUUUUUAUUCUUGAUCUGGCACAAUUUUCAGUGCAGUAGUAUGAAUCUCAACUUCUAGCUUUCACUGCUCAUUAUUAUUGUAUUUUUUUCUUGCUGUAUUCUUUAAAAGUUGGCUGCUUUUAACAUCAUUAAAAAAUAAAACAUUAUUAACUAAUUAAUUUUUAAAAACUGGUAGUAACCAAAACUGCUUCAGAACAGCUGAGUUUGCGGAUGCUCCUCUUCAUCCUGUUUGUUUCCCAGGAUGCACUUCAGGGGUAUGGCAGCAGGUAGACUUUCAUCUCCAGAUCAUCCUGCUCUCACUGAAUGGUCUAGAAAUAAAAGCUCUGUUUCCCCCACUGUUGUGGAAGUGAAACAGCAAUAGAUAGACAUAUCUGAUUUGUGUAUUUGUUCAGCUAAUAUUCUGACAACAAGAACUAGAUCUCAGCCAUCAUUAGCCACCUACCCUCAGUCUUCUGGCUUGACACUACCAUCUUAAUUUGCAUAUGCAUGGAAAUCUAGUUUUAUCCGGACCAAAUACCAUUCAAAAGAGAAGAGAAUACACAAACCUAGAAUC
rnacentral:lncRNA from 1 species